rnacentral:rRNA from 1 species
GAUGAACGCUAGCGGCAGGCUUAAUACAUGCAAGUCGAGGGGCAGCAGGUUUGUAGCAAUACAAAUGCUGGCGACCGGCAAACGGGUGCGGAACACGUACAGAACCUUCCUUCGAGCGGGGAAUAGCCCAGAGAAAUUUGGAUUAAUACCCCAUAGUACUACGAGGUGGCAUCACCUUGUACUUAAAGAUUUAUCACUUGAAGAUGGCUGUGCGGCUGAUUAGGUAGUUGGCGGGGUAACGGCCCACAAAGCCUUCGAUCAGUAACUGGUGUGAGAGCACGACCAGUCACACGGGCACUGAGACACGGGCCCGACUCCUACGGGAGGCAGCAGUAAGGAAUAUUGGUCAAUGGACGAAAGUCUGAACCAGCCAUGCCGCGUGGAGGAUGAAGGUCCUCUGGAUUGUAAACUUCUUUUAUAUGGGACGAAAAAAGGGUUUUCUAACUCGUCUGACGGUACCAUAUGAAUAAGCACCGGCUAACUCCGUGCCAGCCGCCGCAGUAACAC